rnacentral:rRNA from 1 species
AUUGCCCUAGUAACGGCGAGUGAAGCGGCAACAGCUCAAAUUUGAAAUCUGGCCUCGGCCCGAGUUGUAAUUUGUAGAGGAUGCUUUUGGCGCGGCGCCUUCUGAGUUCCCUGGAACGGGACGCCAGAGAGGGUGAGAGCCCCGUACGGUCGGACGCCAAGCCUCUGUAAAGCUCCUUCGACGAGUCGAGUAGUUUGGGAAUGCUGCUCAAAAUGGGAGGUAAAUGCCUUCUAAAGCUAAAUACCGGCCAGAGACCGAUAGCGCACAAGUAGAGUGAUCGAAAGAUGAAAAGCACUUUGAAAAGAGGGUCAAAUAGCACGUGAAAUUGUUGAAAGGGAAGCGCUCAUGACCAGACGUGUGCCUCGUGAAUCAUCCGGCGUUCUCGCCGGUGCACUUCGCCCGGCACAGGCCAGCAUCGGUUUUCCCAGGGGGAUAAAAGCCGCGGGAACGUAGCUCCUCCGGGAGUGUUAUAGCCCGUGGCACAAUGCCCUUAGGGGGACCGAGGCCCGCGCUCCGCAAGGAUGCUGGCGUAAUGGUCAUCAGCGACCCGUCUUGAAACACGGACCAAGGAGUCAAGCAUUAGGGCGAGUGUUUGGGUGUCAAACCCGCACGCGAAAUGAAAGUGAACGCAGGUGAGAGCUUCGGCGCAUCAUCGACCGAUCCUGAUGUAUUCGGAUGGAUUUGAGUAAGAGCCUUACCGCUUGGACCCGAAAGAUGGUGAACUAUGCCUGGAUAGGGUGAAGCCAGAGGAAACUCUGGUGGAGGCUCGCAGCGGUUCUGACGUGCAAAUCGAUCGUCAAAUCUGGGCAUGGGGGCGAAAGACUAAUCGAACCAUCUAGUAGCUGGUUACCGCCGAAGUUUCCCUCAGGAUAGC